GAGAGCUCAGAAAUUAACUGGAUACACACAUAGUUGAUCUUUGAUCAUUCUUUUUAGUGGAAAAAGGACAGUCCUUUUAACAAAUGGUGCUGGGAAAACUAGAUGUCCCUGUGCAGAUAGAUAAAGCUAGACCCUUACACCAUGCAGAAAAAAUAAAUGCAGUGUGGAUCAAAGACCAAAUUAAAAAAUUAAAACUGACGUGACAUGGGCUGGAAGAUGGCGUCUCCCACAGAUGGGACGGAUUUGGAAGCAUCUUUGCUAAGUUUUGAGAAACUUGACAGUGCCUCACCAGUUCUUUGGCCAGAACAGUUACCAGGUGUUGCUGAAUUUGCAGCUUCUUUCAAAAGUCCCAUCACAAGCUCUCCACCAAAAUGGACGGCUGAGAUAGAGCGUGAUGACAUCGAUAUGUUGAAAGAACUGGGGAGUCUCACCACAGCUAAUCUGAUGGAGAAAGUACGAGGCCUACAGAACCUGGCCUACCAGCUGGGGUUGGACGAGUCCAGAGAGAUGACAAGGGGAAAAUUCUUGAACAUUCUAGAAAAGCCCAAGAAGUAACAACUGCUCAAGGACUGGUGUUCUGAAGACUGUAACCAAGUUCCCUUCUAAAUACGACCCUGAUGCUCACCACUUGCUCCCUUGGGAAAGCCCAGAGGCUGAGCUUCAGGACUGCCCUCCUCCCCUGCCCUGGCACCCUGCGCCUCUGAGGAUAUUCGGUAUCAAGAGGAGAGACUGUUCUAACCAAGGAGCAUUGCUGUUUAUUGAGUCGGCUUCGUAGCUCUGGAUAUCGGUAACACAGAGGUCCUGUCAUUCUGAAAGGUGUUUUUCAGGAGCCGUAUAGUUCCUUUGAUUCUGUGAUGGCAAAGUCAAUAAUGACUUGUUGGUUGAAUGGGUUCUGUUGAGUUGUACUUGAUCUCUUAAGCAUUCAUGACGAGGACAUCAGAGACCAACUAUGUUCUGGACCAGACCCUGCAUCCUGACCUGUGAACUCUGCAAGACCUAUUGAUUCUAUGACUUCCAUUCUAGAGGAAACAUUAGAAUCUUGUUGAAAUGCAUAUCUGCUUUUUUUAAGUCUAUUCCUCCAACAACACUCCCGCUCUCAGGACUGUCCUGUCCCCACCUCCAGUCGCACUCGCAGGUCGGACUCUUGCAGUGACUUUCCUGGGAUUCGCUGUAGAGUGAACGGCUCAUGCUGUACCGCUUUGAAUCCUAGAUCUCCAGACCAGUAAGAAGUAACAGAAGGAACUCUGGGUAGUCUGUUACAUUUGUAAGUAAAAAAGUGGGAGCACAUGGUUGUGAGAGGCCCCAUGUGACUUAAGACAGGAAGCCUGAUUGACUGGUAUGCUAGCCAAUGGUAGUGGCAUUUGUCCCCUCCUUCCUCCUCUCAGCCACUUAUCAGAUGCUUUGCUUAUGUGAUAAGAACACACCCCACGAAAGUGUCCUGGCCUAACUACAACUCUCGCCGAAUUUUUUGCAAAUUGCAUAUGUCUGCUAAAGUCUGAAAAUCUUGCCCAUGGGUAAAAUCGAUUAGACUUAGUCUCUCACAUUUCGAAGAGUACAGCAGAUUCCUUGAACAUUGUAAAAAGAAAAGCUCUGUGGCCAUUGGGCCAUUGUCCACUGGGAGUAUAGACACAAGAAAAGUUGUCAAGUUUGUGGUCUUGUCUCUGUUAGGGCACAGUACUCUUGGGGUCCACAGCAGGUUCCUUGACUGUUUUUGACAUUUGUGCUUAAUGCUAGAAUUGAUGUUGGAUUUUCCCCCUCAUUAAUGGUUUUGAUCAACACAAUUUUACUUUUUGAAAGGAAAAGGCAGUGAAAUAUAUACCACAAAAUAUGAAUAUGAGAAGAGAUGUAUUCUUCUGGGGUACUCCCUACAAGGGCCAGUUGAAUUUAAACUUAAUUCUAUAAUUGACAUUUUUAAUCUCACUGAAUGCAGUUAAAGUGAGCGUGUACACGUGGUGGGAAAACAAUGCCAUAAUGUCAAUUGUCGUUCUUCACUCUGUUUUUGAGAGUUGAUGACAUCAGGCACUUUUCAGAGUUUGGGGAAAUUGAAAAGUCUGUGGAGAAUACUGAGCGAGCUCCCCUAAACUAACGCAGGUCUGUAAUAGGAAGCCAGGAGUUGGUGUUUUGAUCUGCUACAGCCUCCUCCUCCUAUCAUCCUAUUCACCAGCACUUAAUUAAUGUUAGUAGAUGUUUUAGACUUGUGUUAUUUAUUGUUUUUGUACUGUCAUCUUUAGAAAUGUUAAUGGUGUAUUUUAUAUUGAUAAUAUAAACUUAUAUAUAGUAUGUAUAUGUAUUUUAGAAUGUUAGAGAAUAC